rnacentral:misc_RNA from 1 species
GAUGAAGAACGUAGCGAAAUGCGAUAAGUAAUGUGAAUUGCAGAAUUCAGUGAAUCAUCGAAUCUUUGAACGCACAUUGCGCCCGCCAGUAUUCUGGCGGGCAUGCCUGUCUGAGCGUCAUUUCAACCCUCAUGCCCCUAGGGCGUGGUGUUGGGGAUCGGCCAAAGCCCGCGAGGGACGGCCGGCCCCUAAAUCUAGUGGCGGACCCGUCGUGGCCUCCUCUGCGAAGUAGUGAUAUUCCGCAUCGGAGAGCGAUGAGCCCCUGCCGUUAAACCCCCAACUUUCCAAGGUUGACCUCAGAUCAGGUAGGAAUACCCACUGAACUUAAGCAUAUCAAUAAGCGGAGGA